rnacentral:tRNA from 1 species
GCGGGCGUAACUCAGGGGUAGAGUACUUGCUUCCCAAGCAAGAUGCCUCUGGUUCGAACUUCAUGGCGACUGCU